GUCAUAGUGGCAUAAUGGUUUGAGUGUUCGACUACGACUCUGGAGACCAGGGUUCGAAUCCCAGCUGAGCCA
rnacentral:tRNA from 1 species